CCCUUAGAUGUCCUGGGCUGCACGCGCGCUACACUGGAAGUUACGGAUUGAGAUACUACCUUGUCCGAAAUGGUCCGGGUAAUCACCUAAAAGCUUGUCAUAAUUGGAACGGAUUAUUGUAACUAGUAAUCCUGAACGAGGAAUUCCUAGUAAGUCCCAGUCAACAGCUGGUACUGAUUACGUCCCUGCCCUUUGUACACACCGCCCGUCGCUACUACUGAUUGGACGUUUAAGCAAGAUUUUUAAACACUGACAGUGUGUAGUUCACGCUAUACUACAGUGAGAAGAAGAAGAUCGAGCUUACUUGUCUAGAGGAAGUAAAAGUCGUAACA
rnacentral:rRNA from 1 species